rnacentral:rRNA from 1 species
GUGAGGAAUAUUGGACAAUGGAUGGAAAUCUGAUCCAGCCAUGCCGCGUGCAGGAAGACGGCCCUAUGGGUUGUAAACUGCUUUUGUAUGGGAGCAAUAAGGGCUACGUGUAGUCCGAUGAGAGUACCAUACGAAUAAGGACCGGCUAACUCCGUGCCAGCAGCCGCGGUAAUACGGAGGGUCCGAGCGUUAUCCGGAUUUAUUGGGUUUAAAGAGUGCGUAGGCGGUGUUAUAAGUCAGCGGUGAAAUUUUCCGGUUCAACCGGGAUACUGCCGUUGAUACUUUAAGGCUAGGAUAUGGUUGCUGUGGGUGGAAUGUGUGGGGUAGCGGUGAAAUGCUUAGAGAUCACACAGAAUAUCGAUUGCGAAGGCAGCUCACAAAGCCAUUAUUGACGCUGAGGCACGAAAGUGUGGGGAUCAAACAGGAUUAGAUACCCCUGUAGUCC